CAGUAGCCGCGGGAAUACGUAGGGGGCAAGCGUUGUCCGGAAUUAUUGGGCGUAAAGCGCGUGUAGGCGGCUCAGCAAGUCCGCUCUGAAAGCCCAGGGCUCAACCCUGGGAUGCGGGUGGAUACUGCUGAGCUCGAGUCCGGAAGAGGCGAGUGGAAUUCCUGGUGUAGCGGUGAAAUGCGCAGAUAUCAGGAGGAACACCAAUGGCGAAGGCAGCUCGCUGGGACGUGACUGACGCUGAGACGCGAAAGCGUGGGGAGCAAACAGGAUUAGAUACCCGAGUAGUCCCUGUCUCUUAUAC
rnacentral:rRNA from 1 species